CUGUAGAGGCACACCCCGUGAAAAGAUCUGGUUCUAUCUGAUUUCGGAAGCUAAGCCAUGUCAGGCCUGGUUAGUACUUGGAGGAGCGACCAGCAGCAAAAGACAGGAUCUCAAUGAC
rnacentral:rRNA from 11 species